rnacentral:tmRNA from 1 species
UAAUAAACCCAUUGGACCCGGGGGCGGUACCCGGCGCCUCCACCAAAGCACAGCUUGCCGAUCAGGCUGUGUUGUGGCGGGGGCGAAACAGGAUCGACAAGGGUGUAAAGAUCGCUCUUUUACUCGGCAUGAUACCACCGUUAUCGGGUCAACAGAGUAGUUGCAAAUGACAACAAUGCUCAGGGUUAUGCUCUCGCUGCCUAAUGGCGGUGCGGGAAACCCACUCUAAAGUCCUUAGGGUUAGCCCCUUAAGGCGGGGUUCGGAGGCACCUGGCAACAGAAGCCUCCACU